rnacentral:rRNA from 1 species
GACGAACGCUAGCGGCAGGCUUAAUACAUGCAAGUCGUGGGGCAGCAGGUCUGUAGCAAUACAGAUGCUGGCGACCGGCAAACGGGUGCGGAACACGUACACAACUUUCCUUUAAGUGGGGAAUAGCCCAUAGAAAUUUGGAUUAAUACCCCGUAACAUAGUGAAAAGGCAUCUUUUUAUUAUUACAGCAGCAAUGCGCUUAAUGAUGGAUGUUCGUCUGAUUAGGUAGUUGGCGGAGUAAUAGCCCACCAAGCCUACGAUCAGUAACUGGUGUGAGAGCACGACCAGUCACACGGGCACUGAGACACGGGCCCGACUCCUACGGGAGGCAGCAGUAGGGAAUAUUGGGCAAUGGACGCAAGUCUGACCCAGCCAUGCCGCGUGGAGGAUGAAGGUCCUCUGGAUUGUAAACUUCUUUUAUCUGGGAAGAAAUCCAUCUUUUCUUGGGUGGUUGACGGUACCAGAUGAAUAAGCACCGGCUAACUCCGUGCCAGCAGCCGCAGUAA